CGCGGCAAGACGGAAAGACCCCGUGAACCUUUACUAUAGCUUGACACUGAACAUUGAGCCUUGAUGUGUAGGAUAGGUGGGAGGCUUUGAAGUGUGGACGCCAGUCUGCAUGGAGCCGACCUUGAAAUACCACCCUUUAAUGUUUGAUGUUCUAACGUGGACCCGUGAUCCGGGUUGCGGACAGUGUCUGGUGGGUAGUUUGACUGGGGCGGUCUCCUCCUAAAGAGUAACGGAGGAGCACGAAGGUUGGCUAAUCCUGGUCGGACAUCAGGAGGUUAGUGCAAUGGCAUAAGCCAGCUUGACUGCGAGCGUGACGGCGCGAGCAGGUGCGAAAGCAGGUCAUAGUGAUCCGGUGGUUCUGAAUGGAAGGGCCAUCGCUCAACGGAUAAAAGGUACUCCGGGGAUAACAGGCUGAUACCGCCCAAGAGUUCAUAUCGACGGCGGUGUUUGGCACCUCGAUGUCGGCUCAUCACAUCCUGGGGCUGAAGUAGGUCCCAAGGGUAUGGCUGUUCGCCAUUUAAAGUGGUACGCGAGCUGGGUUUAGAACGUCGUGAGACAGUUCGGUCCCUAUCUGCCGUGGGCGCUGGAGAACUGAGGGGGGCUGCUCCUAGUACGAGAGGACCGGAGUGGACGCAUCACUGGUGUUCGGGUUGUCAUGCCAAUGGCACUGCCCGGUAGCUAAAUGCGGAAGAGAUAAGUGCUGAAAGCAUCUAAGCACGAAACUUGCCCCGAGAUGAGUUCUCCCUGAGACUUUAGGUCUCCUGAAGGAACGUUGAAGACGACGACGUUGAUAGGCCGGGUGUGUAAGCGCAGCGAUGCGUUGAGCUAACCGGUACUAAUGAACCGUGAGGCUUAACCUUACAACGCCGAAG
rnacentral:rRNA from 1 species